rnacentral:lncRNA from 1 species
ACAAACAGCACCUUCUAGAGAAGAUUUUUAGCAAAUGGCACCACUUGGACUAUAAUAUUGCACCUUAUUACUCAGCCAUGGUACAAUGCCGGAGAUUCCACCAGCUGGUCCACAGGAAGGGACCAGCAAGGCUGGUUAAGACAGAGUCUUGGCUGAGUGUCUUCAGCUGAAGAGCUCUUAACCAUUUAUUAGAACUUGCCUGACUUUGGAUGUUUUUCCACAGAAAUAAUUGACUUAUAAAAAUGUCCUCAUCAAACUCCAGCUCCUUGCUCUGAAGACGGUGAUGGGAAAGAGCUUAAAAAAAAACCAGCGAAAAUAUUUAGAGAAAGAUAAAGUGUUUUGCAGCUGCAGACUUAGCCUCAGAGAUGGUUGAUCAUUUGGAAGCUGUUCUUCAGUGCAGUCCAGCAGAGAGCAACACCAUCAUGGAAAAUUUGGGCUGCAACAGUGUAAGUACAGCUUCCGAAAGCGUUGUUGUGAAAUUGGAGCUCUCUCUCUCUCUUGCUCUCUCUUUCUCUCUCUUAGGAAGCAGUGCUAGUUCCAGCCCUGACUGCAUGAUCUGCUGGCUUUUUGCAAGCUUCUGGAGAAAAGAUCCCAGGAAUCUGCAAGAACAGUCAAGAGUGCAGAAAAGGAGCCAGGUCUCUUCGUGUACCCUGGAUGCUCACAGUGCUGGGCUGAGCUCACCACUGCUCUUCACUGUGCUACCACGUUGCCACCAGACAGCAAAGCCUCCAGGUCAGCAGCAGGCUUGCUUGGAUUGCCCCACCGUUGCCAGUGCUCAUACUCUGUCUGGGCUGCUCGGAGCUAUGUGCUCUGGGGCAGAAGUGACCACUUGUUCAUUGCUGACUAUGUCUGUGCUUUACCUGGAGCUAGAACUGGAUCUAUGCAGCUCCUGUUUGUAUAGAAAAUUAGUUUCUUUAAAGACCUUUAAUUGGUGACAAUUUGCCUGUGCAGUGCUGAAGCCCACUGCUCAGGCGAGAGAGGGCACCGAGCGACAUGCUGGCAUGCGUUUGCUGCAAGCCAGUCCUGGGCUUUUGCACAGAAAGUAACGUGAGGAGAGAUGGUGCCCAUGCAUGGUGGAAUUUUACCUCCUUCCCAAACCAGAGCUCAUGGAGGGGUUGAUGUUACCAGGGGAGAUCCCACCAAGGAGAAGGGUGGCAGCAGAGUGCCAUGAGGGAAAUGGCAGCAGCUUGGAUAGGACUGCAUUUGUGAGCUGCUGCAACUCAGCUCCCUGCUACAGAAAUCUUGGAAAACUCCUUUGGUGGAGAAGAGAAGCGGGACAUUUGAAAUAGAUCCCACUUCUCCCAUCAGCGCUGACCCUGGCUGCUUUCCUCCUCCUGCUCACAGGACUUGUCUACCAUGGCGUACGUGAUGGGAUACUUGUCACCACAAAAAUACGCUCUGUUCAGCUCACUGAGGCAGCCAAUUUCUGGGCUACUUGCUCUGUUGUGUAUUUGAAGGGCAGGAUGCUGAGUAAAUCUGACUUUCAGAGGACAGAGUCCGUAAUUACUUGUCUGACACUUAGAAAGAUUCUUCCUUCAUAGGAAACUUUCGAUCCACUUUCUACGUAGUCUCAGAUUUAGAUAACUGAAAGCUGAACAGGAACUCCUACACCCUUCACUUCUAAACAAAACAUGGCAAAACAAAACCCGCUCUGGAGCCUGGCAACAAAAGAUUUAGGGGGAUUCAAAUGGCAUGUCAACACAGAUGGUUGCAGACAAACCUGUCAGAUCUCAUUGCCUUUGAGUGGGUCAAAAGCCGCAUAUCUACCUGUCUGAGCUAAUACACAGUUUUCUGAUAGUGUUGAUUGGCUGAGGGCACAACACCAUGCUAAUGGCGCUAAAUGGUGAGGUCCUAUCCAUCCAUAUCUGUCCACGGAGCCCUGCCAAAAGGGCUUGGGGGAGACAGUUCUGACAUGAAGUGAAAUAUGUGCCUGUG